CUUGCUUUUUGCUGACGAGUGGCGAACGGGUGCGUAACGCGUAUGCAACCUACCUUCUUCUGAGGAAUAGCCCAGAGAAAUUUGGAUUAAAACCUCAUGAUAAUAUUUAUUCGCAUGUUUAAAUAUUUAAAAUUUCGAUGGAAGAAGAUGGGCAUGCGUAACAUUAGUUUGUUGGUGAGGUAAUGGCUCACCAAGACUACGAUGUUUAGGGGGUCUGAGAGGAUGAUCCCCCACACUGGUACUGAGACACGGACCAGACUCCUACGGGAGGCAGCAGUGAGGAAUAUUGGUCAAUGGACGAAAGUCUGAACCAGCCAUGCCGCGUGAAGGAUGACUGCCCUACGGGUUGUAAACUUCUUUUGUAUAGGAAGAAACCCCUCUACGUGUAGAGGGUUGACGGUACCAUUCGAAUAAGCACCGGCUAACCCCGUGCCAGCAGCCGCGGUAAUACGGAGGGUGCGAGCGUUAUCCGGAAUUAUUGGGUUUAAAGGGUGCGUAGGCGGAAAU
rnacentral:rRNA from 1 species